GACGAACGCUGGCGGCGUGCUUAACACAUGCAAGUCGAACGGAAAGGCCCUGCUUUUGUGGGGUGCUCGAGUGGCGAACGGGUGAGUAACACGUGAGUAACCUGCCCUUGACUUUGGGAUAACUUCAGGAAACUGGGGCUAAUACCGGAUAGGAGCUCCUGCUGCAUGGUGGGGGUUGGAAAGUUUCGGCGGUUGGGGAUGGACUCGCGGCUUAUCAGCUUGUUGGUGGGGUAGUGGCUUACCAAGGCUUUGACGGGUAGCCGGCAUGAGAGGGUGACCGGCCACAUUGGGACUGAGAUACGGCCCAGACUCCUACGGGAGGCAGCAGUGGGGAAUAUUGCACAAUGGGCGGAAGCCUGAUGCAGAAACGCCGCGUGCGGGAUGACGGCCUUCGGGUUGUAAACCGCUUUCGCCUGUGACGAAGCGUGAGUGACGGUAAUGGGUAAAGAAGCACCGGCUAACUACGUG
rnacentral:rRNA from 1 species